GAGGGAAUAGCUCAGUGGUAGAGCUCAUGCUUAGCAUGCACGAGGUCAUGGGUUCGAGCCCCAGUAUCUCCA
rnacentral:tRNA from 1 species